CUUUAAAGGAACAUCGAAGUUGCCAGCGAAACUAUUUGCUUUUGGGGCCAUUAGAAAGCAAAAGAAAGACUACGCGAAUGGAGGCACCGAGAUACCGGCUCAGAAGAUUUGAAAGCUGAAACAGCUGCUCGGCGCCUAGCAGUGGGGAGCAAACGCGGAUACGCGCUUUGGCCAGAGGAUGGCUCGCGGUGGUGCUCCCGCUCGAGAGUUGGUGGAGCCUGGAAGAGUGGAGCAAUAAACGAGGCAGAGCGAGAUCCGUGCCAGCUUUAUCCGGAGCACCAGACAAUUUUAACCCGAGGAUCGUUCAUGGACCAGACAAAACUCUCCGUCCUCCCAGGCAUCACAAAGAAACCGUGCAGCCCUGAGCCCUGUCCGGGCAGAUUUGUAGCAACUGGAGAAGAUUGGUGUGCAUAGCAUAAGGAGACAGGAGAGAAGCAGUUAGACUCCAGGUCCUCUGCCAGCAUCGGAGGUUCCUUUGGAAGGGUCGUAACGGAUUCUGACCUAGAAGAGGAGAGAGCACGCUGGAAACUCCUCAGACCGCCA